UAGUUCGAUCUUUUAACACUCGAAUUCCAUCUUCCUUGCUUCCUGCUCGCUUAUAACUGGCAUGAGGGAUGUCCGAAAAUUUAACGUUAUCAUUAGUAUAACAUUUUUAAAAGAUACUAUACACGCAGUGCGAUUGAACCAACAAACGGUUUACUUUGCUAAUAUUUUCUAGUGAUCUUACAAAGACAAUUGAUUUGUCGUAAUGGAGUUGAAUCCAUCUUAUGAAGCAAUCGGAAAAGGAUUUGUACAGCAGUACUAUGCGCUGUUCGAUGAUCCAGCUCAAAGACCAAAUUUGAUAAACAUGUAUAAUACCGAGACGUCUUUCAUGACAUUUGAAGGUUUCCAAAUUCAAGGUGCCAUUAAAAUUAUGGAGAAAUUGACUAGUCUGACAUUUCAAAAAAUCAAUCGGAUAAUAACAGCGAUUGAUUCGCAGCCUAUGUUUGAUGGUGGUGUACUCAUAAAUGUUUUGGGGAGGCUGCAGGCCGAUGAAGAUCCACCACAUCCCUUCUCACAAAUUUUUGUGCUGAAACCACUGGGAAAUUCUUUCUUUUGUCAGCACGAUAUUUUCCGCCUUGGCAUUCACGAUAGUCCAUGAAGAAAAUGUCUGUUGGCAUUUUAGAACUAUCUACAGACAAUUCAUUGAACCAUGGACUAUUCACAUGUUGAAAUAAAUUGCCACGCUUAGCUUGUUCAAGUUCGAUUGCUUCAAACAGAGCUUGGAAAUUUCCAGCACCAAACCCCUGUGACAUAAUAAAUAUCAUUUCUGCUACUUAUAUAACGUGUUAUAUAAAUUUAAAAAUUCAAAAUUAAUAUUAUUAAAAAAAUUAUUCUUAGACUUACAUUAUGAUUAUGCCUUUGGAUAACUUCUAUAAAGAGAGUCGGUCGAUCUUGCAUAUUCUUAGUAAAGAUUUGUAAUAGAUAACCAUUUUCAUCAUAGUCAAUUAAAAUUUUUAAUUCCUGAAGAGUUGUUAUGAGAAAUAGUCAACAAUUAAAAGAUUAUUAUUUUUUUAAAUAUUAUAUACAAUACCUGUAAUAUUUUCAAAUCUUCUAUAAUUUUGACUUUGCUACUGUUCAAACGGUUCUUCAGCAUAUCAUAAUAAUUAUCAGGAACAUCAAGAAAUUCCAUACCUCUUUUUCGUAAAUUUUGUAUCUAGAAUAACAAUAACAACAAAGUUAUAUUAUUAUAAUCAAAAGCAAAAGAAUAAAUAUAAUAAAUCUAUAAUAAAAUAUUA